rnacentral:rRNA from 1 species
CCUACGGGUGGCAGCAGUCGAGAAUCAUUCACAAUGGGGGAAACCCUGAUGGUGCGACGCCGCGUGGGGGAAUGAAGGUCUUCGGAUUGUAAACCCCUGUCAUGUGGGAGCAAAUUAAAAAGAUAGUACCACAAGAGGAAGAGACGGCUAACUCUGUGCCAGCAGACGCGGUAAUACAGAGGUCUCAAGCGUUAUUCGGAAUCACUGGGCGUAAAGCGUGCGGAGGCUGUUUCGUAAGUCGUGUGUGAAAGGCGCGGGCUCAACCCGCGGACGGCACAUGAUACUGCGAGACUGGAGGAAUGGAGGGGGAACCGGAAUUCUCGGUGUAGCAGUGAAAUGCGUAGAUAUCGAGAGGAACACUCGUGGCGAAGGCGGGUUCCUGGACAUUAACUGACGCUGAGGCACGAAGGCCAGGGGAGCGAAAGGGAUUAGAUACCCCAGUAGUC